rnacentral:misc_RNA from 1 species
GCCACUAUCAAGCAUCUAUCUCAUUCUCCAAACUAAGGUUUCAAAUUAAAGCUUCCCCUCCCCUUUAACCAAAAGAUUACAUCAGAAAUUAUCAAAUAGAAUAAAUGUUUUGAGACAUCUCAAAAUGAAAAAGUGGACAAGGAAACAGUUUUUCUUUGUUACGAAUCACAAUCAACUUAGACAUGUAAGUAAUACAGUUUUUUACAUGGUUCUGUUGCUAUUUUGUGUUCAUCACAUUUUCAUAAAUUGAUCAUUGAAUUUAUUACUCCAUUAAUGCAGAUCAUGCAUGCCAAUUUUCA